rnacentral:rRNA from 1 species
AUACGGAGGGUGCAAGCGUUAUUCGGAAUCACUGGGCGUAAAGGACGCGUAGGCGGGUUGGCAAGUCAGAUGUGAAAUCCUACAGCUUAACUGUAGAACUGCAUUUGAAACUGCUAACCUAGAGUAUGGGAGGGGGAGAUGGAAUUAGUGGUGUAGGGGUAAAAUCCGUAGAUAUCACUAGGAAUACCGAAAGCGAAGGCGAUCUCCUGGAACAUAACUGACGCUAAAGCGUGAAAGCGUGGGGAGCAAACAGGAUUAGAAACCCUAGUAGUCC